UGUGGCCCUAAAGGACAAGCUGUAUUGAUCGUCAGCAUUAGAUCCCCGCUUCAAGGGCCUCCCUUUUUUGUCCGAUGUUGCCCGAGAUGACACAUUCAACAGGCUAAUGGCGGAAGCUGCUGGUGGGGAGCAAGUUGAGGCAGAGGCAUCAAAUGAAGAAUCUGUUGUCGAUCCAGCUGAGGAAACUCCGCCUGUGCAGCAGACAGAGACUGCCCUUGAGCCUGUUGAGGAGGAGGUUUGCCCACCAAAGAGGCAGAAGAAAUCUUCUGCGCUGAUGUUUCUUCUAGGGUCAGCCUACAAGCCAAAUGACACUGUGCCACUCAGAACUCUUGCUGACCAGGCACAGGAAGAAGUGAAAAGAUACAGGGAAUUAGCACAUCUACCACUUUCUGAAAAUCCAUUGCACUGGUGGAAGGUGCAUGCUGAGGAGUACCCCCUUUUGGCUCAUCAAGCAAAGCGGUACUUAUGUGUACCUGGGACUAGUGUCCCAUCUGAAAGAGUAUUCUCAACUGCUGGCGAUAUUGUUACAGCAAAAAGGAGCUGCCUCACUUCGCAACAUGUAGAUCAGCUACUUUUCUUGCAGAAAAAUCUACAACAAUUCAGCAUUAAUUAAGAAAACACACAUAUGUAAGGGGUUUAGGUUUCACAUACUGUGUGAGUUUCAUGGUUCAUGGAAAGUUUUUUUAUAUAAACAUUUCCAAAAAAUACAGUUCAUUAUACUUUUGCGAUAUGCAAUUGCAAAGCCUUCUUAAAAUAUUCUUGUUAAUGUUUUGUUAUUUUGAUAGUCUGACUAAAAUAGGACAUGAGGGAAUUCAGAGUUCAGGAUGUAAAUGCUUCAAAAGCAAAACAGAAUUUAAUUUUUGUAUCUUGUUUUAUCAAAAUUUACUGUUAAUAGGUAUUUAAGUGUUAUGUUUACUAAAGACCUGACUUUUGCACUUUAAGACAGUUCUGAUACUUUUUCAUUUCUGUUAGUAUCCUUACAUUUACAAUUAUUUAUUCAUCUGUUUGAUUGUGUCUCUUAUGAGACAGAUUUGUUUUGCAACCACUGGAACAUUAGCACAAAAGCUUUGUGAGACAGUCAAAGAAUGUGAAUGUCAUGCGUAUUCAGUGUGUUUGUUGCCACUUUAUUUACACAGCCUGCUCUGUGAUUUGAGUUGAUUUGGUCAGGUCAUGUUAAA